rnacentral:lncRNA from 1 species
GAUAUUUACGACUGAGUAGCGAUGCUAAGACCCAGCUCAUAUGCUGAGGUACAUGAACAUGUUUAGUUGGUCAAAGACCUUAUCUUAGCCUGAAAUCAACACAUUGCUGGAGUCCACACUCACAACAAUAGCAUCAACCACAAUAAUAAAGAAGGAGUUGCUUGACCUUAGCAACGAUCGCCCAAACAAGAAACCCCGAGUUGCCCCUCCUCCUGCCCUAUCC